AGACCCGAAACCCGGUGAUCUAGCCAUGGGCAGGUUGAAGGUUGGGUAACACUAACUGGAGGACCGAACCGACUAAUGUUGAAAAAUUAGCGGAUGACUUGUGGCUGGGGGUGAAAGGCCAAUCAAACCGGGAGAUAGCUGGUUCUCCCCGAAAGCUAUUUAGGUAGCGCCUCGUGAAUUCAUCUCCGGGGGUAGAGCACUGUUUCGGCAAGGGGGUCAUCCCGACUUACCAACCCGAUGCAAACUGCGAAUACCGGAGAAUGUUAUCACGGGAGACACACGGCGGGUGCUAACGUCCGUCGUGAAGAGGGAAACAACCCAGACCGCCAGCUAAGGUCCCAAAGUCAUGGUUAAGUGGGAAACGAUGUGGGAAGGCCCAGACAGCCAGGAUGUUGGCUUAGAAGCAGCCAUCAUUUAAAGAAAGCGUAAUAGCUCACUGGUCGAGUCGGCCUGCGCGGAAGAUGUAAC
rnacentral:rRNA from 1 species